rnacentral:sRNA from 1 species
UAUAACAGUUUUCGUUUUUGAUAAAAAUCUUAAAAUUUUUUUCAUUUUAUUCUCUGACACUCAGUUUAUCCCACUUUAUGUUCCUCUUGAUCCCAUAGUAUUUUUUGGUUUCAGUUAUUUUAUGUAUAUAUGUAUGUAUGUAUUUUUGUAUAAAUUUCCAAACCAAAUGUGAGGCUUGAGUAUAGGAGAGAAGGUUAGGUUCGCGUUUUUUUUUUUUGUAUGAGAUUUCUCAAUGGAUGAUGUGUGGAAUAAAAGAUCAAUGAAAAAGAUGAAGUUCCCCACAAGAAAAACAUCGUUUUGGAUCGACUAAACACAAAGCUGCUGGCUGGCUGGCUGGACCCUGAUAUAAUUAUAUAUCCCCUACAUGCUACAAACAAUAAAAAUCACAACAGCAACAACAUUGAAUCGUCCUAAUCCCCAUCAGGAUGAAGGUUAUGUGGAGCUCCAGGCUGUAUAGAAAUUGUUUUUUCCACUUUCAGAAAAUCAAAAUCGAAACAGAAGAAACGGAUUGAACC